rfam:Xenopus laevis strain J chromosome 6S, whole genome shotgun sequence.
CCAAAGGCUCUUUUCAGAGCCCCCCACAUUAUCUAAAGAGAGUUGU